rnacentral:lncRNA from 1 species
ACACGUGGGCCCACAAAUGAUUAAAAGUAUCAAAAGAAAUGAGCCCAUGGUUUUUGGAUGUGGCAAGUCCAACUGUAGUCCUCGACGAUAUCAAUUAUCUACAAUCUAUUCUGAGCCUAAAAUGGGUGGAAAAGAGGGUGGUGAGAUUAUAUAAUCCCAGUGAGUAAACAAAUACCAUAUAAUAUCUAAAGCUGAGUAAAUGGAGACAGAUAAAAUAGUUUAACAUACUGUAAUUCAUCACCUUUCAACAAGUUUCAACCAAAUAAAAUCAAUUCAUAUAAAUCGAGUAAUUAACAUGGCUUAUGAAUUUCUUAAAAGAUUUGGCUCGUGCCAAAAUCGUUCUCAUACUCAGUUAUCAAGGAUACCUUGGCUGUGGGCUAUCCUAAACCGAGUUUGCCAAUGCUAUUAAAAAGUUAUGUACUCAUAAAUCAUGUUUUUAUUUUAAAAAUAUAGCCGUUCCUUGGCAUUGGCUAAGUUCGCCCUCAUGUGGUGGUUUGGCGCGAAGUGAACUCUAAAAGUUAUACCUCGGGAGUUACCCUACUUGCCUCUCCAACCGAGGUAAAAUAUAUCAGGAUUUCGUGCCCCUCUAAUAGGCUAGUCCACAAAACCCUGCCCACUGUAGCAAGCUUAACCCACCAUACAAUAAAAUUUGAUAUAACAUGAUUGAAUAACUAAUUUUAUUUUAUUUUAUUUUAUUUUACAGCCUCUCAAGGCAAAUCAACAGUUCAUACAUUUUCAGCACAUUUAUCAAGUCAACCAUUCAUGCCAACAUUGCCAUAAGCUAAUCAAUUAAAACCAUAAAUUUAUAACACAUCAAGUGGUCUCCAAUUACUCUAUUUUCAAAGCCAUAAUUUAAUUUCAAGACAAUUUAUAAAAUCAUUUCAUUUAAACACAUUUUAUUUAUAAACAUAAAGAUUUACCAUUUAAACUUAUUUUUCAAAAAUCACAAAAUCGGAUAAAAACCACUUUAGAUAAUUAAGACGAUAGUAAGGUUACUCAUUGUUUCGGGAGUCGAAUUUUGAGCACUCCGAUUCCUUAUCCUCGAGUACUAUUUCUUUACUUUUGCCAGAAUGCUCACCACCUAGACCUAAUGCAUAAUAAGCCAUUUACUACAUUUGUGCUAAAUUGUUAUAAAACCAAUUCAGGCUCUAUACUAAUGCAUGAAAUGGGAUGUGAAAUACUCGGGUAACUAUCUAAAUACGGUGUUCAAUAUAAAUUCACUUGUGUACCUAAAUAAAUUGGUAUUGGCCUAAUUCGAUCUAUCACUCGAUUAAUUGGCCAAUACGUCCAAUUUAACUCCAAUUAACUCCAUUUUUCUUCCAAUUCUUAAUACACCAAACACAAGUCAAAUAACCUAAAAUUUGGAAAAUCCAUCUUCACUUUUCUUCUUAGAAUUUUUGGUCAAUAAUGGUGCAUCAACACCGUGAUUUUUCCUACUACUUCUCGACACCAUAAUUCAUCAUUUUCUAACCAAUUCUCUUAAAAUAAAAAUCAAAUUCAUCCUCACUCAAUACAAGGUAGGUUCGCCCAUUGAUGGAUGAUGGGGAAAAUGAAUUAUUUUCUUGUUGUUUUCCUUUUAGACAUGGUAAACUAACUAAAAACACUAACAUAACUUGAAAUGAAAUCAAUCCAACAUCAUUCUCUCUCCAUACCCAUUCAGCUAACCAUGAUUGCACCAUGAAAACAUGUAAUUUAACCAUGGAAAAUAAGGAGAAAUGCUUAAGGAAGAUAGAUUUCAAGUUUAAAUUGAGAAAUCCUACCUUUUUCACUUGUUUUUCUUGAUUUUUCCACACUUUUCUCUUGAAAUUCUCCACCUAGGGUUUAGUUCUUCCUUUUCCUUCCUUUGUUCUUC